rnacentral:rRNA from 1 species
UACGUAGGCAGCGAGCGUUGUUCGGAGUUACUGGGCGUAAAGGGUGUGUAGGCGGUUGUUUAAGUUUGGUGUGAAAUCUCCCGGCUCAACUGGGAGGGUGCGCCGAAUACUGAAUGACUUCGAGUGCGGGAGAGGAAAGUGGAAUUCCUGGUGUAGCGGUGAAAUGCGUAGAUAUCAGGAGGAACACCGGUGGCGUAGACGGCUUACUGGACCAUAACUGACGCUGAGGCACGAAAGCGUGGGUAGCAAACAGG